rnacentral:rRNA from 1 species
GGGGACAACAUUUGGAAACGAAUGCUAAUACCGCAUAAAAACUUUAAACACAAGUUUUAAGUUUGAAAGAUGCAAUUGCAUCACUCAAAGAUGAUCCCGCGUUGUAUUAGCUAGUUGGUGAGGUAAAGGCUCACCAAGGCGAUGAUACAUAGCCGACCUGAGAGGGUGAUCGGCCACAUUGGGACUGAGACACGGCCCAAACUCCUACGGGAGGCAGCAGUAGGGAAUCUUCGGCAAUGGACGAAAGUCUGACCGAGCAACGCCGCGUGAGUGAAGAAGGUUUUCGGAUCGUAAAACUCUGUUGGUAGAGAAGAACGUUGGUGAGAGUGGAAAGCUCAUCAAGUGACGGUAACUACCCAGAAAGGGACGGCUAACUACGUGCCAGCAGCCGCGGUAAUACGUAGGUCCCGAGCGUUGUCCGGAUUUAUUGGGCGUAAAGCGAGCGCAGGUGGUUUAUUAAGUCUGGUGUAAAAGGCAGUGGCUCAACCAUUGUAUGCAUUGGAAACUGGUAGACUUGAGUGCAGGAGAGGAGAGUGGAAUUCCAUGUGUAGCGGUGAAAUGCGUAGAUAUAUGGAGGAACACCGGUGGCGAAAGCGGCUCUCUGGCCUGUAACUGACACUGAGGCUCGAAAGCGUGGGGAGCAAACAGGAUUAGAUACCCUGGUAGUCCACGCCGUAAACGAUGAGUGCUAGAUGUAGGGAGCUAUAAGUUCUCUGUAUCGCAGCUAACGCAAUA